AUGUACCGGGGUUGGGAGGUAGUUGUACAGAAACCAAAGAGGAAAAAAUGCAGGAUUUGGGAACCUCAGGGCAAUAUCAUGAGAGCGCUAAAGCCACUGGCGCCCACGGAGAACACCUGCAGCUCUUUCUUCUCCACGGCUUCCAACGGGCCUUACUUGGCUGGCCAGGUAGGCGCCUGCUUCUGCUGGGUCUGGUGGCAUACCGGGACGCCCUUGCCGCCCCCGGAGGAGCCGCCUCCGCAGCCGGAGCCGCCGCCGCCCCCGGAGUACUUGACGCUCCCACCCGAGCCGCCGCCGCCGCCGCAGCCACCGGAGCCGCCGCCGCCGCCGCCGCCGCCGCCGCCGCCGCCGCCGCCCGAGGUCUUCCCGAAGCCCAUUGGAGGCAUGGGGGUGGGCUGCUUCUUCUGGUGAGACAUCUUGCGCAAGCAGGAAGCGAACCCUGA
rnacentral:lncRNA from 12 species